UGCCUAAUACAUGCAAGUCGAGCGGACGAAUCGAAAGCUUGCUUUUGAUUCGUUGGCGGCGGACGGGUGAGUAACACGUGGGCAACCUGCCCUGUAGACGGGGAUAACACCGAGAAAUCGGUGCUAAUACCGGAUAACACGAAAUGUCGCAUGACGUUUCGUUGAAAGACGGCGCAAGCUGUCGCUACAGGAUGGGCCCGCGGCGCAUUAGCUAGUUGGUGAGGUAACGGCUCACCAAGGCGACGAUGCGUAGCCGACCUGAGAGGGUGAUCGGCCACACUAGGACUGAGACACGGCCCAGACUCCUACGGGAGGCAGCAGUAGGGAAUCUUCCGCAAUGGACGAAAGUCUGACGGAGCAACGCCGCGUGAGCGAAGAAGGCCUUCGGGUCGUAAAGCUCUGUUGUUAGGGAAGAACAAGUAACGCAGUAACUGGCGUUACCGUGACGGUACCUAACGAGAAAGCCACGGCUAACUACGUGCCAGCAGCCGCGGUAAUACGUAGGUGGCAAGCGUUGUCCGGAAUUAUUGGGCGUAAAGCGCGCGCAGGCGGUUCCUUAAGUCUGAUGUGAAAGCCCACGGCUCAACCGUGGAGGGUCAUUGGAAACUGGGGGACUUGAGUGCAGAAGAGGAGAGCGGAAUUCCACGUGUAGCGGUGAAAUGCGUAGAGAUGUGGAGGAACACCAGUGGCGAAGGCGGCUCUCUGGUCUGUAACUGACGCUGAGGCGCGAAAGCGUGGGGAGCAAACAGGAUUAGAUACCCUGGUAGUCCACGCCGUAAACGAUGAGUGCUAAGUGUUAGAGGGUAUCCACCCUUUAGUGCUGUAGCUAACGCAUUAAGC
rnacentral:rRNA from 1 species